UACGUAGGGCGCAAGCGUUGUCCGGAAUUAUUGGGCGUAAAGAGCUCGUAGGCGGUUUGUCGCGUCUGCUGUGAAAACCUCAGGCUCAACCUGGGGCUUGCAGUGGGUACGGGCAGACUAGAGUGCGGUAGGGGUGACUGGAAUUCCUGGUGUAGCGGUGGAAUGCGCAGAUAUCAGGAGGAACACCGGUGGCGAAGGCGGCCAACUGGACGAAUACUGACGCU
rnacentral:rRNA from 1 species